GGGUCGAUGAAGAACGCAGCCAGCUGCGUGAAUUAAUGUGAAUUGCAGGACACAUUGAACGUCGAUAUCUUGAACGCAUAUUGCGGCCUCGGGCAAUCCCGAGGCCAAGCCUGUCUCAGGGUCGGUUGAAUUACAAUCGCGGGUUGCACUCUGCCCGCGCAUUGGGCCGUCUCGGACGACGCUGGACGACGAUCGAUCGGUUGCACUCUGCCGAUUGUCGUCGCCGUCGACGCCCGAGUCGCCUUAAGUUUAGACGUGCGGUCGCUCGUUGGAUGUCAGCUGUCGCGGUCAAUAGCGGCAGCGAUCGUCGGACGGGACGGAGACUCGGUACUCGUUGAGCCAUCCGUCUCCCGUCGUCGACGAUGCAUCCGAGGGGCGCCUGACCGCAUCGGAACUGGAAAUUAGUUCGCUCUCGCGAACGCCAACGAUUCGUUCUCGACCUGAGAUCAGACUAGAUUACCCGCUGAAUUUAAGCAUAU
rnacentral:misc_RNA from 1 species